UACGAAGGGUGCAAACGUUGCUCGGAAUUAUUGGGCGUAAAGCGCGUGUAGGCGGCUUGGCAAGUCGGGUGUGAAAGCCCACGGCUCAACCGUGGAAGCACAUCCGAAACGGCCUCGCUCGAGUCUCGGAGAGGAAGGUGGAAUGCUUGGUGUAGAGGUGAAAUUCGUAGAUAUCAAGCAGAACACCUGCGGCGAAGGCGGCCUUCUGGACGAUGACUGACGCUGAGACGCGAAAGCGUGGGGAGCAAACAGG
rnacentral:rRNA from 1 species